rnacentral:lncRNA from 1 species
AGAGGAAAGUUUGAAGCUUCUAUAAGCAUAAAACCUUGAACUGAGUCACUGGGAACCUGUGAGAGGCUUCUGCAGGCACACGGCAGCCUCCACGAUGUUCUCUCCUCAUUCACGUCUGCCUGCUGCACACCCCAAUUCUCACGCACACCGCCGUUCUGGUCUCCUCCCUGCUAACAGGGAAUUCCCUGGUAAAAAGAAGGAGAGUGCAUGAGAUUAUAUAAAGACUCAGAGAAGAGAUACAGCUCCUCCCGCACCAGAGAAAUGCAGCUCCGUGAGCCCCGAUGGAGCCAGCAUGCUGCUGGGUGCUGAGGAGCAGGCAGAGGCACCCAGGAUGGCGGUCCCCAAGGAGAACGGAGGCACAGAACAACGCAUGAGGGGCCACAUGACUUAGGGCCGGGAUCGGUCACUCAGCCAGCAAAAACACUGGAAGAAAACAAAACAACUUCAGACUCUAUGCUGCAUUUCCGUAAUAUAUCUGCCCAAAGACUGGACAACAAAGGUAAAGGAGGCUGAUGAGGAAACGAAAGGAUCCGUGGUUCUUGGCUCGCUGGGUGGCUCAUCAACAAAGCCCCAGCAUCACUCCUGCAGAUGCCCUAGCCUGGCCUGGGCUGGGAUGGGCAAAAUUCACCAUGGGACUCUUGUUCAAGAGAGGGAGAUCAAAGCCAGAAACACUUACCCAGAAUGGCCAUGCAGACUAAAAUUCCAAUUCUAAAAAUACUUUUAAAAUGUAACGUACAACAAAGGAAAGCUGGAAAAAUAUUUAAAAAAGGAUGAAAGGGCAAGAAAAAUUCAACCCACGACCUCAAGGCGAUUAUAAUCUGUGUUCUGCUGCUUCCCAGAGCCGCUUCAGUCUUCAGCUCAGAGUCUACCAGACACUAAAAUGCAACUGAACACUCAGUUCAUACUUGUUCUUCUAAUUAGCUGCCUCUUCCAUUUGAUUAAUAUUGCCUCCUAAUUUAAUUGUAAAUUGUAUUUCUGGUUUAUAUUUCGCUUCUCCCUCCUGUUGUACCUGGUGACCAUCUUCAUUAAUCAUAUUGUAGCUUUUUAAUGAAUCUCAUAUGCCAAUUUAUGGUGAACAAGACUUGAUAUGAAGGCAUCUUCAUCAAAUCAUUCAUAAUCUUGUAACUAUUGGUUUAUUUUCUGUAACGACCUAUAAAUGUACACCAAAAAAAUGAAAGAUUCCCCCUAAAAUGUAAUGGGACAGAACUUUGUUUACGUAGAUUUCUGAGGAUGGGUUGAGACGCCAAAUUCCGCUUGUGUUUGGAAUUUCUAUUUCACUGGGCUUAGUGAGGGUGCCCAUGUUUUGCAAUCCUGUGCUCUAGAAUCUAUCAUAAACAGAUUCUUCUAAUUGUUUGACAUUAAACUGCAAAUUUGUGUUUUUGUGUCUGCUCAAAUAUAAAAUGUCUUUGGGAAAAAUACAGAGAAUGGUUCG